UCCUAACACCCACGGUCCUGCAGUGACGUGAAUAUGUGAGAAUAUCAACUUACUUUUUUUUAAAAAUGAAAGUUUCUAGCCCUCAGGGUUGUGGAGAAAAGCCUGACAAUGUGACGGGAGUGCACCAGAACGGUUCCAAAGCCAGAAGGGCUUGCAAAAAUGCUCCAACCUGACCCUGGUAGGAUUAACAGGAUAUCCUGCAAAUUACCGCCCUCCUGCUCCAGGCUGCCGAUUCUCACCCUCAUCAGCAUUAUCGCUUUCAGUCUUUCCGCAGUUUCUCUGUCACACCCACCUGAAUGGAGGAGUGAGGGGGAGACAGACAUGACUAAAACUCAACAGCGGUGGGCUGGAGUAUUUUCUGGGCUUGUCCAUCAGAGUCUGGACCUCCGGCAAAGAUCUCUAUACUAACCUACUUGUGACUCAGACACAUUGAAAGCAAGAAGGAGUAAUAUCUGAUUUUUCCCAGUGGGGUGGGAAACCACUUGGCUUGAAUGCCCUACCCUCCACAAGGCAGAAAAGAUUCCUGUCUAGGGGUAUGCCAGAAAGCUCUCUGUCUCAACGCACAUUAGUACAAGUAACAUUGCCACUUACCAUCUGUCUCUCUCUAUGAAUCUGUGCUUCGUUCCUGUGUAAGAAGGAAAUUCAUAGAAGUACCAGCUGUGACCUUUCAGGGGGGGCCUGACAAAUUGUGCCUCUUUGGCCAGCAUUGGGAGAGUCUAAUCUGGCACCUCUGAAAGACAGUCGGUUUUUGUUCUGUCACCGUAUCUUUCCCCAGCAAGGGCACAGAAUACAUAGAAAGUGUAAAGCUUCAGCGCCCAUUCAGCAGUUGCUGGCAGCUGCCAAGCAGCCCCCCAUGAAAUGAGGUUUCUUAACCUUCCACUGUAAUGAUUGUGCAUAAUAGCGAGGAGGUGAGUCCAUCAGGCACUGGAAUUCCCCAGCCCUCCUCUAUGUUAUAGGCCAAGUAGAUCAAAAUAGUAGCCACCAAGAUGAAACAAGCUGUGUCAAUAUUUGUUUUGUUAAACUGGCAGUGAGUGUAGAAAGUCUGCCAGCUCUGGGUCUCCCUUACAGAUGUUGUGAUGUGUUAUUCUGCAGAUUAAGAGUAAGCGUUAUCCCUCUCCAACCUGAUAUGUAAUAUGUCUAGCAACUAGCAAUUGAGGUUGCUGUCAGCCAGCCCUAUAUGCAUGAUUAUAUUAGGGAGGCAUUUGUAGCAACUUCAUAGUUAAAGCAGGAUUCAAAUCCUUCCGUUUCACACUUUCAUGGUGGAACUGUGUCUCCAAAUUUCCCCUGAACAGUCAUUGUGAUGCAAUUAAACUGUCUAGGACAUUUUCUGGAUAAAAUACUUGCCAAGCUUUGUUAG